AUUGAACGCUGGCGGCAUGCCUUACACAUGCAAGUCGAACGGUAACAGGUCUUCGGAUGCUGACGAGUGGCGAACGGGUGAGUAAUACAUCGGAACGUGCCUAGUAGUGGGGGAUAACUACUCGAAAGAGUGGCUAAUACCGCAUGAGAUCUACGGAUGAAAGCAGGGGAUCGCAAGACCUUGUGCUACUAGAGCGGCCGAUGGCAGAUUAGGUAGUUGGUGGGAUAAAAGCUUACCAAGCAGACGAUCUGUAGCUGGUCUGAGGGGACGAUCAGCCACACUGGGACUGAGACACGGCCCAGACUCCUACGGGAGGCAGCAGUGGGGAAUUUUGGACAAUGGGCGAAAGCCUGAUCCAGCAAUGCCGCGUGCAGGAUGAAGGCCUUCGGGCUGUAAACUGCUUUUGUACGGAACGAAAAGCCCCGGGUUAAUACCCUGGGGUCAUGACGGUACCGUAAGAAUAAGCACCGGCUAACUACGUGCCAGCCGCCGCCGUAA
rnacentral:rRNA from 1 species